rnacentral:rRNA from 1 species
UACGUAGGUGGCAAGCGUUGUCCGGAAUCACUGGGCGUAAAGGGCGCGUAGGUGGCCCGACAAGUCUGUGGUGAAAGCUCGACGCUCAACGUCGAGUCGGCCAUAGAUACUGUUGGGCUGGAGCACUGUAGAGGCUCAUGGAAUUCCGGGUGUAGCGGUGGAAUGCGUAGAGAUCCGGAAGAACACCGGUGGCGAAGGCGGCCCACUGGAUCGGUACUGACGCUGAGACGCGAAAGCGUGGGGAGCGAACAGG